rnacentral:rRNA from 1 species
GACGAACGCUGGCGGCGUGCCUAAUACAUGCAAGUAGAACGCUGAAGGAGGAGCUUGCUUCUCCGGAUGAGUUGCGAACGGGUGAGUAACGCGUAGGUAACCUGCCUGGUAGCGGGGGAUAACUAUUGGAAACGAUAGCUAAUACCGCAUAACAGUAGAUGUUGCAUGACAUUUGCUUAAAAGGUGCAAUUGCAUCACUACCAGAUGGACCUGCGUUGUAUUAGCUAGUUGGUGAGGUAACGGCUCACCAAGGCGACGAUACAUAGCCGACCUGAGAGGGUGAUCGGCCACACUGGGACUGAGACACGGCCCAGACUCCUACGGGAGGCAGCAGUAGGGAAUCUUCGGCAAUGGACGGAAGUCUGACCGAGCAACGCCGCGUGAGUGAAGAAGGUUUUCGGAUCGUAAAGCUCUGUUGUAAGAGAAGAACGAGUGUGAGAGUGGAAAGUUCACACUGUGACGGUAUCUUACCAGAAAGGGACGGCUAACUACGUGC